rnacentral:rRNA from 2 species
AAAGAAACCAACAGGGAUUGCCCUAGUAACGGCGAGUGAAGCGGCAACAGCUCAAAUUUGAAAUCUGGCCUCGGCCCGAGUUGUAAUUUGUAGAGGAAGCUUUUGGCGAGGCGCCGACUGAGUCCCCUGGAACGGGGCGCCACAGAGGGUGAGAGCCCCGUAUAGUUGGACGCCGAGCCUCUGUAAAGCUCCUUCGACGAGUCGAGUAGUUUGGGAAUGCUGCUCAAAAUGGGAGGUAAAUUUCUUCUAAAGCUAAAUAUUGGCCAGAGACCGAUAGCGCACAAGUAGAGUGAUCGAAAGAUGAAAAGCACUUUGAAAAGAGGGUUAAAUAGCACGUGAAAUUGUUGAAAGGGAAGCGCUUGUGACCAGACUUGCGCCUGGCCGAUCAUCCGGGGUUCUCCCCGGUGCACUCGGCCAGGCUCAGGCCAGCAUCGGUUCUCUCGGGGGGACAAAGGCCCCGGGAACGUGGCUCCCUCCGGGGAGUGUUAUAGCCCGGGGCGCAAUGCCCUCGAGGGGACCGAGGACCGCGCGUACGCAAGGAUGCUGGCGUUACGGUCAUCAGCGACCCGUCUUGAAACACGGACCAAGGAGUCAAGGUUUUGCGCGAGUGUUUGGGUGUAAAACCCGCACGCGUAAUGAAAGUAAACGUAGGUGAGAGCUUCGGCGCAUCAUCGACCGGCCCAGAUGUUCUCGGAAGGGCCUGAGUAGGAGCGUUAAGCCUUGGACCCGAAAGAUGGUGAACUAUGCUUGGAUAGGGUGAAGCCAGAGGAAACUCUGGUGGAGGCUCGCAGCGGUUCUGACGUGCAAAUCGAUCGUCAUAAUCUGAGCA